rnacentral:misc_RNA from 1 species
CCAAACUUGGUCAUUUAGAGGAAGUAAAAGUCGUAACAAGGUUUCCGUAGGUGAACCUGCGGAAGGAUCAUUAUCGAGUGCGACCCCCCCGGUAAAAAAGGGGGGUACCUCCCGUCCUUUGCUAAGCUCCCCCUUCAAACUUUUUUUUUAAAGGGGGGCUUUUCAAACCUUCUGCUUCGGCGGGGUUAUCCCCGCCGGAACAACCUUAAAAAUUCUCAUUCAACUGUUCCGUCCGAGAAAAUAUUUUAAAAAGCGAAAAACUUUCAACAACGGAUCUCUUGGUUCUGGCAUCGAUGAAGAACGCAGC